ACCUACGGGGGGCAGCAGUGGGGAAUAUUGCACAAUGGGGGAAACCCUGAUGCAGCAACGCCGCGUGAGUGAAGAAGUAUUUCGGUAUGUAAAGCUCUAUCAGCAGGGAAGAAGAUGACGGUACCUGAGUAAGAAGCCCCGGCUAACUACGUGCCAGCAGCCGCGGUAAUACGUAGGGGGCAAGCGUUAUCCGGAUUUACUGGGUGUAAAGGGAGCGUAGACGGUGAGACAAGUCUGAAGUGAAAGCCCGGGGCUCAACCCC
rnacentral:rRNA from 1 species